CUUAACAUGCAGUCGACGGCAGCACGGGGGCAACCCUGGUGGCGAGUGGCGAACGGGUGAGUAAUACAUCGGAACGUGUCCUGUAGUGGGGGAUAGCCCGGCGAAAGCCGGAUUAAUACCGCAUACGCUCUACGGAGGAAAGGGGGGGAUCUUAGGACCUCUCGCUACAGGGGCGGCCGAUGGCAGAUUAGCUAGUUGGUGGGGUAAAGGCCUACCAAGGCGACGAUCUGUAGCUGGUCUGAGAGGACGACCAGCCACACUGGGACUGAGACACGGCCCAGACUCCUACGGGAGGCAGCAGUGGGGAAUUUUGGACAAUGGGCGCAAGCCUGAUCCAGCAAUGCCGCGUGUGUGAAGAAGGCCUUCGGGUUGUAAAGCACUUUUGUCCGGAAAGAAAACCUCUGGGUUAAUACCCCGGGGGGAUGACGGUACCGGAAGAAUAAGCACCGG
rnacentral:rRNA from 2 species